AGGUGCGAUCAUACCAGCCCUAAUGCACCGGAUCCCAUCAGAACUCUGCAGUUAAGUGUGCUUGGGCGAGAGUAGUACUAGGAUGGGUGACCUCUUUGGAAGUCCUCGUGUUGCACCUC
rnacentral:rRNA from 2 species